rnacentral:rRNA from 1 species
UACGUAGGGGGCAAGCGUUGUCCGGAAUCAUUGGGCGUAAAGAGCGUGUAGGCGGCCAGAAAAGUCCGCUGUGAAAACUCGAGGCUCAACUUCGAGCUGUCGGUGGAAACUUUCUGGCUAGAGUCCGGAAGAGGAGAGUGGAAUUCCUGGUGUAGCGGUGAAAUGCGCAGAUAUCAGGAAGAACACCAAUGGCGAAAGCAGCUCUCUGGGACGGUACUGACGCUGAGACGCGAAAGCGUGGGGAGCGAACAGG